UUAGACCUCAUAAUGUUUUAAAAGUAAAUUAAAAAUUCUAAACACACCCCAAAAUCACUUUCAAUGUUUAUGUCAUAAGACCAUUUCUUUUUUCAAGUUUCAAAGUCACUUGCAUCUACUAUUGUAGAACAAAACCCUAACCAAUAAAAGCAUAAACAUGUUGAUAAAAAAACUGUUAUUUUUUACUAUCGAUGUUUGGAGGCUUAACAUUAUAUAGCACUUCAUAUGUUUUCAUUCUUUUAGUGAUUUCAACGACAUUGUUAUGUAUAGUAAGGCUACCAAUAGACAUUCCAUCUAAGAGAAACAUGAUUGACACUAAGGCUAUCAAUUGGUUGAUAUCUUGAUAAAGAUGACUUUUCGUUCAUGAUUUAUUUGGUUGAUAUUUUCUUAUUGUUUCGUUGCUGUGUUAUGAUACCCCUUGUAGAUACUGACAACACACCUAAAGUGUUUUCAUUAUCGAGUAAGAUGGUUAGUGUAGUAUUUGAUGACUAUUUCCUUACAAAAAAAAAAAGUUUAACGAUGUGGGAACAAAUGUAAGUAAAGGAACUUAUCUAGAUGGUAGAAACUCAUAGUUACAGGGGUUAAGGAUAUGUGCUAACUCUUGUUUACUUAACACAACUAGAUGAAGUAACAAAUCAACUUACCUACGGAUCAAAACGUUGAUAUUAAAAUGGGUGAUACUUUUGAUGAUUUAGCUAAUUAUGGAGUGGUUGAUGAUACGGGAGUCAUAAUAGCUGGUUGGGAUAGAGAAGGGGCAAUGUAAUCGACAUACAAGUUAAUUUUUUUUUUGUUAUUAGUUUCAUGUGCUUAUCUAGUAAAGGGUAUGUCAAAACCACUUAUAUUGCAAUACUAAAUGUCUUGUUUUGAUUUCAUUCUAGUUUCGGUGGUUUUAAACUCUAUUUUAUUUAUUUUACCUAUAUUACUUGUGUUGUCUUUGCUAGUUAUAAUAAAGAAAUGAAUAUUGAAGAAACAACCAACUUCCUCAUAAAAAAAUUAUUUUUAGCAACUGGCACCGAUGGAAUUUUGCAUGGCGAUCCCUCCAUCUUUUGUAUUUUCAUUGUUAACUCAUUAUCAGUUUUGAAUUAUGCAUUUUUCAUUCUCAAAUUUAUAUUUUUGUGUUUUUAUCCAAUUUAUCAUGUGCACAAAAAAAGGUGUGAAGAAAUCCUUAAACUCGAUUCUUUUUAAUCUUGUCCAGUUUAUCAUGUGCACAUCGUUCAUUCCCAAUAUCCAAUAAGGUUUGAAAGUAAAAUUUAGUGCUCCAAAGAUACGAAGUUACACCUUCUUUGCUUUAUACCAGAAAAUCGCCUUUGUCUUUUCUACCAGCUUCACUAAAUCAAUUUAUUUACAUAUCAAAUGAAAUAUGUUCUCGGAUUUCACAAUUGUAAUUUACGUAUUUUGUAUUUGCAAGAUUUUACAUUAUUUCUUUUCGUUCAUAUUAGAGCUUUAGUUAAUUCGUUACAAAGUUUGAAUUUUCGUAAUUAGUUAUUAAAAUUCUAUAGACUUUUUUCAAAUAGAUCUCAAUCCCAUGAACACGUGGACGAAAACCGUUUGCAAAAUAGAGCUUUAAUGAAGAAAUUACCAGUCGCUAAAGUCAAGGUCAUUUUUGUCUUUUGACAGAGUCCACAUAGGGAAGACCCUAAAAGGCUGGAGUAGCCUUUCCUCUUUUAGAAAGUUAAACGACAACAUACGUGGAGGAGAGGUGAUUGAUCACGACCUAGUUCCUAAAAUGUCGAUUUCUUCCUUUUCUUGCACUUAUGAUCGUCGCCACCACCACCAAAAUGCAGCUCGUGACCCCAAGAUCAAUACCCAUCCAAGAUUCACUCAAGAAACAACUAGAGGUGGCAAUUCGAGGCCACAUUGUUUAAGUGAUGCAAUGAGUUUCUCGCAUUUUUUCGACAAGCUCGCAAAACUACAAUAACCCAAACAACUUGGGAUCGACUCACCUUAGAUCUAGCUACAAACUCUAGGCUUAGCUCCUCAAUCAGACGUCGAACGACGACACACCGUGCGUGCGCCAUUCACGAUUUUCGAGGGACUUUUGACAAUUUCAUCGUCUUCUGUCCACUUUCAGACUUAGUGUCAGUUGUGGACAAUCAUAUGUGGCUUUAUGAGAGGAAUUCUCAACGUCAACCACAAAUGUGUUGGUCCAAAGGGUUAAUGUGGCAAAUAAGUGCAUUUUGGAGCAUUUUUAGGCAUGGAAUGGAUGGCAUAUGCUUGGACCAAAAGGAAUGGACGAAAUUUGAAGUUUGUGCAUCAUCCUCUCCCUAUAAAUAACCAUUUUAGCACGCUCAUUUCACCCAACACACACAUUCACCUACC